GGCAGGAUGGUCUAGCUUGGCAAGAUUUUUGCUUCGGGAGCAAAGGAACCAGGGUUCAAAUCCCUGUUCUGCCACCA
rnacentral:tRNA from 1 species